rnacentral:tRNA from 1 species
AUCUCUCUAGUACAAAAAGUAUAAGUGGCUUCCAACCACCCGGUCUUGGUUAAAAUCCAAGGAAAGAUA